rnacentral:rRNA from 1 species
GCUUGUCUCAAAGAUUAAGCCAUGCACGUCUGAGAAUAAAGAGUUUUCUCUGAAUCUGCGAAUGGCUCAUUAUAUCAGUUAUAGUUUAUUUGAUAGUCCUUUACUACUUGGAUAACCGUAGUAAUUCUAGAGCUAAUACAUGCGUCAAGUCCGGACCGCGCGAGCGGGAAGGAUGUGUUUAUUAGAUACAACCAACCCUUCGGGUUCCUGGUGAGUCAUAAUAACCGAACGAACCGCAGGCUUCGGCGGCGGUGGUUCAUUCAAGUUUCUGCCCUAUCAGCUUUCGAUGGUAGGGUAUUGGCCUACCAUGGCGUUAACGGGUAACGGAGAAUUAGGGUUCGAUUCCGGAGAGGGAGCCUGAGAGAUGGCUACCACAUCCAAGGAAGGCAGCAGG